GACGAACGCUGGCGGCGUGCUUAACACAUGCAAGUCGAACGGAAAGGCCCUGCUUUUGUGGGGUGCUCGAUUGGCGAACGUGUGAGUAACACGUGAGUAACCUGCCCUUGACUUUGUGAUAACUUCCGGUAACUUGGGCUAAUACCGGAUAGGAGCUCCUGCUGCAUGUUUUGGGUUGGAAAGUUUCGGCGGUUGGGGAUGUACUCGCGGCUUAUCCGCUUGUUGGUGGGGUAGUGGCUUACCAAGGAUUUGACGGGUAGCCGGACUGGGAGGGUGACCGGCCAAAUUGGGACUGAGAUACGGACCAGAAUGCAACGGGAGGCAGCAGAGGGGAAUAUUGAACAAUGGGAGGAAGCCUGAUGCAGCAACGCAGCGUGCGGGAAGACGGACUUGGGGUUGUAAACAGCUUUAGAAUGUGAAGAAGAGUGAGUGACGGUAAUGGGUAAAGAAGCACCGGCUAACUACGUG
rnacentral:rRNA from 1 species